GACGAACGCUGGCGGCGUGGAUUAGGCAUGCAAGUCGAACGGUAGGAUACCUUCGGGUAUCUGAGAGUGGCGAACGGGUGAGUAACACGUAGGUGAUCUACCCUCAAGAUUGGGACAACCCAGGGAAACUUGGGCUAAUACCGGAUGAAAGCAGCAGUGAUGUUGUUUGAAAGGUGGCGUAAGCUGCCGUUUGGGGAUGAGCCUGCGCUCUAUUAGUUAGUUGGCGGGGUAAAGGCCCACCAAGGCGAUGAUAGAUAGGCGGCCUUAACGGGUGGUCGCCCACACUGGGAUUGAGAUACGGCCCAGACUCCUACGGGAGGCAGCAGUCGAGAAUAGUCUACAAUGGUCGAAAGACUGAUAGUGCGACGCCGCGUGAACGAAGAAGCCCUUCGGGUGUAAAGUUCUUUUAUAUGUGAGCAGUGCUUCUUAUAUUAACAGUAUGGGGAGAGAGAUAUUAGCAUAUGAAUAAGCAACGGCUAACUCCGUGCCAGCAGCCGCGGUAA
rnacentral:rRNA from 1 species